rnacentral:rRNA from 1 species
AACGUAGGAGACAAACGUUAUCCGGAGUUACUGGGCGUAAAGGGCUUGUAGGUGGUAUCGUAAGUCUGGCGUGAAAUUUCUCGGCUUAACCGAGGCAGGUCGUCGGAUACUGCGAGGCUAGAGGACGGUAGAGGCGUGUGGAAUUCCGGGUGUAGUGGUGAAAUGCGUAGAGAUCCGGAGGAACACCAGUGGCGAAGGCGACACGCUGGGCCGUACCUGACACUGAUGCGCGACAGCAUGGGGAGCAAACAGG